rnacentral:lncRNA from 10 species
GUCCACAUCACAUGGUACAAGAAUUGUAGGUAAAGAGAUUUCUCCUGAAGUUGGCAGACUCAGACCAACCAUGGGAAAGAUCUGACUUUGGGAAAGAUAUGGAAGUAUGACACUCUGUGGAAAUCAGGCAGAAUAUGCCUAGUAGCCAGUCUCCAAAGUGGCUCUGUGAUUCCUGUCUCCCGGUGUUCACAGCCUGGUUUAGACCCUUUCCACAUUGUACCAGAACACUCAUCCUGGAAGAAGCCAGCUACCAUGACUUGAGGACACUUAGCCCCAAGGAAAAGCCAUUAGCAAGGAACUGAGACUUCCCGUCAACAGCCAUGUGAGUGGGCCUUCCUGGAAAUUGAUCCUGCAGUUUCAGUCAAGGCUUCAGAUGAUGCAACCCAGAUGCUGAACCAGAAACACCCAGUGAAACCACGCCUAGAUUCCUGACUCUCAGAAACUGUGGGAGAAUAAAUGUUUGUUUUAAGCCACUAAA